UCCCCCAUCCCUAACCGCUACGGCCGCCACCCCCCGCCGAUCCCUAACCCCUCCUCCUCCUCCCUAACCCAAAUCCAACAAAUCCCUAACCGGAAGACCGUCCACGCGCCGCUCUACCUUCCGACCUUCUCUCUCUCUCGCUGGGAGCCAUGGCGACAUUCUCGUGGGCGUCCUUCCGGUUCCGCACGGGCUGAUGAAACUCCUUUAUAAGAGCCCGGAGGUUAAGGUUGUGGCAAUGGAUUGGAUUCUGAGGCACCAUGGUGUUGGGCUUGGAUCGAUUCUUUUGCUAUAGCAGUUCUCAUUUGAUGUAAUUGUAAUAUUUUGUGCCAUUUUAAUAUCUAGAUUCCCUUUCUACUUAAAAUCUCUUUUGAUAUUUUGAUGUAAUAUUUUGUGCUAGUUCUUAUUCUGUUCAUUCUUUUGAUACUAUACGUGAAAUUUGGCGAUUUCCUUCUUUUGUGGCACGCUGGUCCAGAAUCAAUAGCUCACCAAAUUUGUUAAAGGAACAGCUGGAGAUUUAAUGUAGUUUCUUCUCCAAGAACUGGUGCAAAUAAUGUUGGCUCUAAAUAUCAGGAUUACUUGAAAUUAUUUGAGGUUCCUUUCACUCUGGAGGAUUCUAGUCGUUCUUUUUGUGGUUUCUAGUUUGAACAUCAAGAUUAUGGGGGCCAUCUGUUGUGUGGCUGCUCCAAGGAAGAAACCUUUGUUUUCCUGUUACAAGAUGAGCGGCAGUCAUUCUGCUUAUAAGAAUGCUGGAUGCUCCUCUAGAUGGAGCUUUCUACGUGGCAACUGAACUCAUACAAUGGAUGUUUUCGACAACCAUUCUGAGUUUUCUCAUCACAACAGUGGGAAUAUUGACUCAGAAUUUAAGCAUCGCAUAGAAACAGAUCAUGAAGGUCUUCUAGCUGGGAAGACACCGGUAGCAGCUUCUCAGGCACUCAGACAACUGAAGUCUCCUGAUUAAUUGAGCAUUGGUUGUAGCUCCAAAGUGGCUGCUGAAGGAAAGAGACUCCAGUAGAUCACAAGUAAUUCAACCAUGUAUUGAGCCAUCAAUUUCUCCAUCUACAUCGGCUUCUAAAGCAGGUCCAUCAUCUUUGAAGACAAGCCAAACAUCAAGUAUGAUAUCAAGACUACUCUCUGAUAACAGAGUUCCACCUGUCAAAUCUUUAAAUGAGGACAGCUCUCUUGAAGGAAGGCAGUCUUUUGUUCUUCCAGGCACUGACUUAUCCAAUGAUGGAUCCCAGAUUCCCAGGUUGGGUCUUUUGAUGUUUGGCCUUCAGUUGAUAUCUCUGAAUUGAUGUCCUCUUCCCAAGGAGAGACAUGGUCAUUUGGAAGCGGACACUCAAGUUACUGCACCAACAAACUUGCAAAUUCAAGCACUCAGCUUUCAUCAACUUCCCUUUAUUCUGAUUCACAAAUGUGCAGAGUAUGCUCAAAGGUAUUGAAUGAUAGAUCUUUGUGGAGUAGCCAGAAACUAGUUCUGAACAAAGAGAUAUCUGUAGUGGCUAUUCUGGUCUGUGGGCAUGUCUUGCAUGCAAACUGUUUGGAAAUUAUGACGCAUGCGACUGAAGUUUGACCCAUCUUGUCCAGUCUGCAUGAAUGGUGAGAAAUUUGUAUUGAAACUAGUGGAGAGAACCAAUUGGAAGGUAAGAAGCAAGAUCUCGAGGAGCCAAGUUGCCAGCAUUGAUGUUGAUUGUGAUUCUAGUUCUGCUGAUUAUGCUUCAUUAUGAUUGCUUUUGUUUUAGAUGAUAGGUCUUUGUAUUUCUAGGAGGAAUGAAAUUUCUGUUGAUCUCUAUGACAUACUUUUGGAUUUUGAUUUUGAUGGAUUUAGAACAUAUUGAUGCCUAUUUUGAAUGACAUGUUAAAUGACUUUUGCGUAAUGUUGAAUGCCUUUGCUAUUAAUGAUAUUAUUAUUAUUAUUAUUAUUA